rnacentral:rRNA from 1 species
ACCAAUUAAAUCGGAAUGUAUGUAUGGCCCGAUCCUGUCUGAUCUCGGAAGCUAAGCAGAGUCGGGCCUGGUUAGUGCUUGGAUGGGAGACCACCUAGGAAGACCAGGUGCUGUAGGUG